rnacentral:rRNA from 1 species
UACGUAGGGUGCGAGCGUUUGUCCGGAAUUAUUGGGCGUAAAGGGCUCGUAGGCGGUCUGUUGCGUCAGGAGUGAAAACUCGGGGCUUAACCCCGAGCCUGCUUCUGAUACGGGCAGACUAGAGGUAUGCAGGGGAGAACGGAAUUCCUGGUGUAGCGGUGAAAUGCGUAGAUAUCUGGAGGAAUACCGGUGGCGAAGGCGGCAUCCUGGACCGGCAUUGACGCUGAGGAGCGAAAGCCAGGGGAGCAAAGCGGG